UUGCUUUUGUUUGUUUGUGUUGGUAUUGGUUUUUGUUUAACAACAAAGAAAUAGGCUCUGACCUGGUGGAAAUCCUGUGACUCAUGAAAAACUCACAAAGCCUGGAUGUGCUCCACAUUCCUGACCUGUGUGAGCACUCCCAUCAGAGCCCUUGUCACAGAGCCGGUUGUCCAACUGAGGAAGGGAAACUAUACCACAUGGCUUACAUUCAGUGGCAUUUUUCAAACGCUUUUGAGAGAAAUCACAAUGUGCUUGAAGAGUUUCCAGGGUGAAAUAUAUCAACAAAAUUAUUGAGCAUGAAUAAUUUUCCCAGUACUAUUUACUGUAACAGAUUAGGAUCAAGAAGUAGAAAAAGGACAGGAGAGAGAGAGCAAAAGAGAAAGAGAAGAAGGAAAUUCUCCUCCCACACACUCAGAAGAUGUACCAUUUCUGGAUUGCUUCAAACUGAGUGGAACCCAAUAAUUAUGACUUCACAUUUCCAAGAGAACUAAGCCCAGUCCCGCACAAAUAGCUGCACUGUAGUAAUAUGCUGCUGGCCACUCAUCCUAAUCCUGAACAUGCUAUAAAGAACUGACCCAGCAGGCUACCAGUGCUAAUUCUGGUUGUGGCUAGCCCUCACGUGUUUACUUUUCAUUAACCCUAUAACAUUCAAGUUUUCAUUUAAUCUGUUACUUUUCUGUCUCUUGGUGUGCUCAACCUCUUGUGUCUUGAGUAGUCAGAACUCAGAUGGCGUGCUCAGAAAACAGGGAAGUGUACAAUUAUGUGCGCGGCCGGGACGUGGAAGCGCCGAGGCGGCUCUGCUGGACAGUCCCGCGCCGGCUGAGCGCUCCCGAGGGAGCCCCUUGAUCUCCUCACGCCUGUCUGAGGCCCUGCACCAGCCAGAGAGAUUAAGGAAAAGUCGCCAAAUGUCAGGGCCGAAUACCUGUUUUCAUUUAUUUAGCAUUUGCUUGGCCAUCAAGCUGAGUUUCCAUUACAGAGGUGCAUGAACAGGAUCAGCAUGAAUUCACUUUUCAGAAUAAA
rnacentral:lncRNA from 1 species